AGCAGCCGCGGUAAUUCCAGCUCCAAUAGCGUAUAUUAAAGUUGUUGCAGUUAAAAAGCUCGUAGUUGAAUUUCGGGGUCUGUCCGUCGGUCGGGCUUCACGGUCCGUACUGGUGUGAUGGGUUCCUACCUUCUGAAUAACCGGCAUGCCAUUCAGUUGGUGCGCCGGGGAAGCAGAGCUAUUACCUUGAAAAAAUUAGAGUGCUUAAAGCAGGCUAGUGCUUGAAUAGAUUAGCAUGGAAUAAUAAAAUAGGACGGCAUGGUUCUAUUUUGUUGGUUUCUAGGAUCACCGUAAUGAUUAAUAGGGAUAGUUGGGGGCAUUAGUAUUCAAUUGUCAGAGGUGAAAUUCUUGGAUUUAUUGAAGACUAACUUCUGCGAAAGCAUUUGCCAAGGAUGUUUUCAUUAAUCAAGAACGAAAGUUAGGGGAUCGAAGACGAUCAGAUACCGUCGUAGUCU
rnacentral:misc_RNA from 1 species